rnacentral:tRNA from 1 species
GUUUUGGUAGCUUAACUUAAUAAAGCAUCGAUCUUGUAAAUCGAAAACCGGAGGUUUAAAUCCUCCCCAAAACA